GUGAGGAAUAUUGGUCAAUGGUCGGGAGACUGAACCAGCCAAGCCGCGUGAGGGAGGAAGGUACAGAGUAUCGUAAACCUCUUUUGUCAGGGAACAAAGGCGGGGACGUGUCCCCGGAUGAGUGUACCUGAAGAAAAAGCAUCGGCUAACUCCGUGCCAGCAGCCGCGGUAAUACGGAGGAUGCGAGCGUUAUCCGGAUUUAUUGGGUUUAAAGGGUGCGCAGGCGGUCUGUUAAGUCAGCGGUCAAAGCCCGGGGCUCAACCCCGGCCCGCCGUUGAAACUGGCAGUCUCGAGUUGGAGAGAAGUAUGCGGAAUGCGCGGUGUAGCGGUGAAAUGCAUAGAUAUCGCGCAGAACUCCGAUUGCGAAGGCAGCAUGCCGGCUCCACACUGACGCUGAGGCACGAAAGCGUGGGUAUCGAACAGGAUUAGAUACCCUGGUAGUCC
rnacentral:rRNA from 1 species